rnacentral:rRNA from 1 species
UUUAAAGAGAGUUUGAUCCUGGCUCAGGACGAACGCUGGCGGCGUGCCUAAUACAUGCAAGUCGAACGAACGGAGGAAGAGCUUGCUCUUCCAAUGUUAGUGGCGGACGGGUGAGUAACACGUGGGCAACCUGCCUGUAAGUUGGGGAUAACUCCGGGAAACCGGGGCUAAUACCGAAUGAUAAAGUGUGGCGCAUGCCACGCUUUUGAAAGAUGGUUUCGG